CCAAGGGCACCCUGGGACGUGUAGUUUUCCCGGAGGCGGGCGGCUUGAGCGCGUGACCCUGCCGAAACCGAAGCGCCGCCUCCGCAUUGGCAGGAAAGUAGGUCGCGGGCUCUUAAAGCGUCCUUUAGCGCCAGGCGCUAGUUCUGGUUCGGCGGCUGCCGCGCAAAGUGCGUAAUGGGUGAGCGCUGCUUACGGAAGGAGCGGAGUCGCGCGGGGCUGUUGCUCAGGCGGCGGUUGUUUUUCAACGGCGCGCUCGCGCGGUUUGUUGAUUUCAAAGUACGAGGAAGGCGGCGAGGUUCCAAAAGGAGGAGUGGGAAGGACCUCAGGGCAGCGACAGAUGAAGGGGAAAGUGGCAAUACUGGUCCCUAUUACUGUAUAAUAUAUCCUCCUUGAUAAGAAAAGAGGUCUCCCACUUUGCGGAAGUCAGCCAGCUGCAGCCAACAGGUCUUGAGGCUGCAGGAACCUGAGACGCCAUGGCACUUACAGGAGACAUCGGCCAACUUGUACACUGCCUAUGGAAGGAAGAAGGCAAGGUGGGGUCAGACAAAGUGUUCAAACAGCACUAAAAUCUGGCACAACAUAAGCAAUAACUGGUGCAACCUUAUGCACAGAAGCAAGCCUCACUGGACUUACAUCAUCAGCAUCAUUAAUUAUUAUUUUCUUAUACUGCGCCCAUUCUCAUAGCAGUCCAGUAAGGUAGCUACGAGCUGGACCAUUUGAAGAAAGAUUUUGACUGAGCUAUGUAAACAAUGUGAAGAGUACAAGUUUCCAGAGGAAGCUAAGAUGUCUGGACGUGAAACAUAGACCAACUGGACUCAAUCUGCAAGCGGAAUUUGUUUAAAAUCUGUCCCUCUUCGGCCUCCACCUCAAAUUCCUUUCUGAUUCUUCCUUUGUAAAGAAGUGGGAUGUAAAGGGAAUCAACGGGCUAAUUCCUAUGUGGUUAAUUAGCCAAGCCUCCUCUCAGCCUUGCUUGGCACUGGAUGGAGUGGCUGAUGAUUGAGGUCUACUACAUGUUGAACGGGUAAACAACGUGGCAGGGCUGCCAAAGGGAGACAGAUAAGGAGAGACCAAGUGGAGAAAGAGACAGAUGGAAGGAAAGGGCAGGCUAAGAUAACCGUCAAAGACAAACAAACAACAGGCAAUAAAGCUAAAAGUUUGGGGCCCUAAAAAAUUCAAGAGUGCAGUGGAGCAGCAAUGGGGUCAGGACUGUGUGGAAAACUGAAGCAAAUUCAGCUCCAUUCCCACCCCCUUAUGGCUCUUCCUGGGAACUGAAGUGGGACAGAAUUCGUCCUCCAUCACUUGAGCUGCAGACACCAAGGAAGGGGGAAAGGAAGUGCUCAGAUGCUCCUUAGCGAUCAAGGGUGCCCCAUGCAGUAAGACCUGGUCUCCAAUCCAGGAAGAACAGAGGGGGGCAAAUUCACUUGUGGAGAGACAAUUAAACAGAACACAGCUAGAAUCUUUAAAAAAAGAAGAAGCAACAUUAAUAGCAAAAAUGGCACAGGCAGUUAGUCACUCAUCACUAGUGAUGUUAAUGGGCUAGGUGGAGCGACAGCCUGACAAGUCCGUAUCUUCAUGUGUCAUUUGUGCAACUGCAUUCAUUAUUGCAAUUAACGCACUAGCUAGGGUGGGGGUGAAAGAAUGCUAUCAG